UGGGGAAUUUUGGACAAUGGGCGAAAGCCUGAUCCAGCAAUGCCGCGUGUGUGAAGAAGGCCUUCGGGUUGUAAAGCACUUUUGUCCGGAAAGAAAUCCUUGGCUCUAAUACAGUCGGGGGAUGACGGUACCGGAAGAAUAAGCACCGGCUAACUACGUGCCAGCAGCCGCGGUAAUACGUAGGGUGCAAGCGUUAAUCGGAAUUACUGGGCGUAAAGCGUGCGCAGGCGGUUUGCUAAGACCGGAUGUGAAAUCCCCGGGCUCAACCUGGGAACUGCAUUGGUGACUGGCAGGCUAGAGUAUGGCAGAGGGGGUAGAAUUCCACGUGUAGCAGUGAAAUGCGUAGAGAUGUGGAGGAAUACCGAUGGCGAAGGCAGCCCCUGGCAAUACUGACGCUCAUGCACGAAAGCGUGGGGAGCAAACAGGAUUAGAUACCCUGGUAGUCCACGCCCUAAACGAUGUCAACUAGUUGUUGGGGAUUCAUUUCCUUAGUAACGUAGCUAACGCGUGAAGUUGACCGCCUGGGGAGUACGGUCGCAAGAUUAAAACUAAAUGAAUUGACGGGGUCAUAGCUGUUUCCU
rnacentral:rRNA from 1 species